rnacentral:rRNA from 1 species
AAGUUCCGACCUGCACGAAUGGCGUAAUGAUGGCCAGGCUGUCUCCACCCGAGACUCAGUGAAAUUGAACUCGCUGUGAAGAUGCAGUGUACCCGCGGCAAGACGGAAAGACCCCGUGAACCUUUACUAUAGCUUGACACUGAACAUUGAGCCUUGAUGUGUAGGAUAGGUGGGAGGCUUUGAAGCGUGGACGCAGUCUGCGUGGAGCCAACCUUGAAAUACCACCCUUUAAUGUUUGAUGUUCUAACGUUGGCCCCUUACCGGGGUUGCGGACAGUGUCUGGUGGGUAGUUUGACUGGGGCGGUCUCCUCCCAAAGCGUAACGGAGGAGCACGAAGGUUAGCUAAUCCUGGU